GAUGAACGCUGACAGAAUGCUUAACACAUGCAAGUCAACUUGAACUUCGGUUUGGGUGGCGGACGGGUGAGUAACGCGUAAAGAACUUGCCUCACAGAUAGGGACAACAUUUGGAAACGAAUGCUAAUACCUGAUAUUAUGAUUAUAUGGCAUCGUAUAAUUAUGAAAGCUAUAUGCGCUGUGAGAGAGCUUUGCGUCCCAUUAGCUAGUUGGAGAGGUAACGGUUCACCAAGGCGAUGAUGGGUAGCCGGCCUGAGAGGGUGAUCGGCCACAAGGGGACUGAGACACGGCCCUUACUCCUACGGGAGGCAGCAGUGGGGAAUAUUGGACAAUGGACCAAGAGUCUGAUCCAGCAAUUCUGUGUGCACGAUGAAGUUUUUCGGAAUGUAAAGUGCUUUCAGUUGGGAAGAAAAAAAUGACGGUACCAACAGAAGAAGUGACGGCUAAAUACGUG
rnacentral:rRNA from 1 species